GGGGGUCCUCCCCGUUUUUGGGGGGGGGUGUCUUCGUUUCGGGGUCUUAAGCGCUGGUUGGGGGAGUGGCCAAAUGGGGUGCGCUGGCCCUUUAAAUCUUCCUCUUCGGUGGUGCGGAGCAGGAAGCCACGCCCCCUUUGGGAAGCCACGCCCCCUUUCAUAAGGGGGAGGGGUCGUGCACCCCCAUUUUGGGGAGUGGCCAAAUGGGGUGCGCUGGCCCUUUAAAUCUUCCUCGUUGGGUGGUGCAGUGUGGGAAGCCACGCCCCCUUUGGGAAGCCACGCCCCCUUUCAUAAGGGGGAGGGGUCGUGCAGCCCCAUUUUGGGGAGUGGCCAAAUGGGGUGCGCUGG
ensembl:lncRNA